AGAGUUUGAUCCUGGCUCAGGAUGAACGCUGGCGGCACGCCUAACACAUGCAAGUCGAACGGAGUUUUGAGAGCUUGCUCUUAAAACUUAGUGGCGGACGGGUGAGUAACACGUGAGCAACCUGCCUUUCAGAGAGGGAUAGCUUCUGGAAACGGAUGGUAAUACCUCAUAACAUACAUUUGCGGCAUCGCAGAUGUAUCAAAGAUUUAUCGCUGGAAGAUGGGCUCGCGUCUGAUUAGCUUGUUGGUGAGGUAACGGCCCACCAAGGCAACGAUCAGUAGCCGGACUGAGAGGUUGAACGGCCACAUUGGGACUGAGACACGGCCCAGACUCCUACGGGAGGCAGCAGUGGGGAAUAUUGCACAAUGGGCGCAAGCCUGAUGCAGCGAUGCCGCGUGAGGGAAGAAGGUUUUCGGAUUGUAAACCUCUGUCAUCAGGGACGAAAAAAGACGGUACCUGAGAAGGAAGCUCCGGCUAACUACGUGCCAGCAGCCGCGGUAAUACGUAGGGAGCAAGCGUUAUCCGGAAUUACUGGGUGUAAAGGGAGUGUAGGCGGGACUGUAAGUCAGAUGUGAAAUAUGCCGGCUCAACUGGCAGACUGCAUUUGAAACUGUGGUUCUUGAGUGAAGUAGAGGUAAGCGGAAUUCCUGGUGUAGCGGUGAAAUGCGUAGAUAUCAGGAGGAACAUCAGUGGCGAAGGCGGCUUACUGGGCUUUAACUGACGCUGAGGCUCGAAAGCGUGGGGAGCAAACAGGAUUAGAUACCCUGGUAGUCCUAGCUGUAAACGUUGGGCACUUGGUGUUGCGGGUAUCGACCCCUGCAGUGCCGAAGCUAACGCAUUAAGUGCCCCGCCUGGGGAGUACGGUCGCAAGAUUAAAACUCAAAGGAAUUGACGG
rnacentral:rRNA from 1 species